CCUACGGGUGGCUGCAGUGGGGAAUAUUGGACAAUGGGGGGAACCCUGAUCCAGCGACGCCGCGUGAGUGAAGACGUAUUUCGGUAUGUAAAGCUCUAUCAGCAGGGGAGUAAAUGACGGUACCUGACUAAUAAGCCCCGGCUAACUACGUGCCAGCAGCCGCGGUACUACGUAGGGGGCAAGCGUUAUCCGGAUUUACUGGGUGUAAAGGGAGCGUAGACGGUGCAGCAAGUCUGAUGUGAAAGGUCGCGGCUCAACCCUGGGACUGCAUUGGAAACUGUUGAACUGGAGUACAGGAGAGGUAGGCGGAAUUCGUAGUGUAGCGGUGAAAUGCGUAGAUAUUAGGAGGAACACCAGUGGCGAAGGCGGCUUACUGGACUGUAACUGACAUUGAUGCUCGAAAGCGUGGGGAGCAAACAGGAUUAGAUACCCGAGUAGUC
rnacentral:rRNA from 1 species